rnacentral:rRNA from 1 species
GACGAACGCUGGCGGCGUGCUUAACACAUGCAAGUCGAACGAUGAAGCCGGAGCUUGCUCUGGUGAAUUAGUGGCGAACGGGUGAGUAACACGUGAGUAACCUGCCCUUGACUCUGGGAUAACUGCGGGAAACUGUAGCUAAUACCGGAUACGACCAUCGGAGGCAUCUCCUGGGGGUGGAAAGAAUUUCGGUCAAGGAUGGACUCGCGGCCUAUCAGCUAGUUGGUGAGGUAAAGGCUCACCAAGGCGACGACGGGUAGCCGGCCUGAGAGGGUGACCGGCCACACUGGGACUGAGACACGGCCCAGACUCCUACGGGAGGCAGCAGUGGGGAAUAUUGCACAAUGGGCGCAAGCCUGAUGCAGCAACGCCGCGUGAGGGAUGACGGCCUUCGGGUUGUAAACCCCUUUUAGCAGGGAAGAAGCGAAAGUGACGGUACCUGGAGAAAAAGCACCGGCUAACUACGUGCCAGCCGCCGCCGUAA